rnacentral:rRNA from 1 species
AGCAGUCGCCGCGGGAAUACAGAGGGUGCGAGCGUUAAUCGGAUUUACUGGGCGUAAAGCGUGCGUAGGCGGCUUCUUAAGUCGGAUGUGAAAUCCCUGAGCUUAACUUAGGAAUUGCAUUCGAUACUGGGAAGCUAUAGUAUGGGAGAGGAUGGUAGAAUUCCAGGUGUAGCGGUGAAAUGCGUAGAGAUCUGGAGGAAUACCGAUGGCGAAGGCAGCCAUCUGGCCUAAUACUGACGCUGAGGUACGAAAGCAUGGGGAGCAAACAGGAUUAGAUACCCCCGUAGUCCCUGUCUCUUAUAC